GGCAGGGCAGUGGAGUAUAGUAAGAGACUGCAAAACAUGCUGCCUGUCCUGCUCAUCUGCCUCCUGCCUGUGGCCAGUGGAAAGAACUGCCUCCUCUGCUGGCCUGAACUGCCCGCCUUGAUAGACUAUGACCUCCAGAUCCUGUGGGGCACCCCGGGGCCCCCUGCAGAACUCUCCCAGAGCCUCCACUCCUUGUUCCUGGAGAAUAAUUUCCACGAACCCUGGUAUCUUGAUCGUGACCAUUUGGAAGAAGAAAUAGCCAAAUUCUUCACUCAAGUAGACCAAGCUAUUAAGAAGUUACGGGAUGAUAAACCAUUACUUCUAGAAGACAUUCACAUGCACAAGAGCCUCUUUGCUGAUAAGCUGAAUAGCAGAUCUGAGAGCCUCAGUUUCUUCACCAUCUCACCCUCCUGGGCAGCCUGCAACCAAUCUUGUGAUCUAAACUCCACAGUGGAGGUCACCGAAUGUACCAGCUGUAAGAUUCACUUCCUCUCCUGCAACGACCCCAUGUUCUGCCCAGCCAAGAAACCAAGGAUCUAUGAGUGGGCUGUGAGCCUCGGCAUUGCUCUGUUUCUGGCCAUAGCUGGAGGUGGAGGCUACUUCGUCUGGCGCAGGAAAAAGAUGAAGAAAAUAGAAGAGGUACUAGGAAAAGAGACCCCUGCCAGAGACCCUCUCCAGGAAGGAAAAGCUCAACCAGACCUCACCUAAUGCCAACACAAGAAACUAGAACAGGGGCCUGGAUCCCUGGGGCAGGGGGUCCCGGUCUCUGAGUGUGGAAGAGAGAAAGCAAAGUGUACCUGCAGGCCAGGGAAGACAAGAGAAUAACAGAAGACAUAAGAAAACAGGCUUAACCUCUCCUCAGCCCAGCCCCCCCACUGCUCAGAUGUCUCAGGAGCUGCAGCACCAGGGUCUUG